UACGUAGGGGGCAAGCGUUGUCCGGAAUCAUUGGGCGUAAAGAGCGCGUAGGCGGUCCGGUAAGUCCGCUCUGAAAGUCCGGGGCUCAACCCCCGGGAGGCGGGCGGAUACUGUCGGGCUAGAGUCCGGAAGAGGCGAGUGGAAUUCCUGGUGUAGCGGUGAAAUGCGCAGAUAUCAGGAGGAACACCGAUGGCGAAGGCAGCUCGCUGGGACGGUACUGACGCUGAGGCGCGACAGCGUGGGGAGCAAACAGG
rnacentral:rRNA from 1 species